rnacentral:lncRNA from 1 species
GCAUGUGGUUAUGCAAACAAGUGGACGUGUAAAUAAUGAAUAAAAAACCGAAACGUGAAAAUACGAAAAAAAAAAACUAGGUCAUGACGUGACGUCAUUUAUGUGGAUGAUACAGAAUAAAUCCUGCAAACAACACACGGAAAUGAAAAUCAUCCUAAGUACAUAAGGAAUGCCUGUCCACUGUGCCGAACCGUUAAAGCCGAUUUACGGUAACGACGCCUAGUGCGUGGUGAUGGUAGCGAAUUGGAGAAAUACGUAUGGAAUGAGUCAGCUCUGGCGGUCCGUAUGUGUAACCAAGAAGAACCAUUUAAACAAUUGGAAGAGGGCAACUCAUGGAAUAGUUUAAGUAACAUUUUAGAAGUGGCUUCAGAGGAGAUGUUGUUUGACAUAAAAUGUCGAAGGAAAAACGACGGACGGUGAUUGAUCACAACAAAGUUGUGCUCUGGUGAGCUCAUCAAUGGUAAAAUUUCAGAACAUGGAAACCCAAGAUUGUACCACUUUGUUUAUCCGACACCAAAUAUUGAGCGAGACAUAUCAUAGUAUGUAAACAGAUCUGAAUUACUUCAUUUUCACAGAUUUGUCUAAAUUCUUGCAUUUAUUACUGUAACAGAUUUAGCCGUUAAGCACGGAUUAACUCGAACCGUAGAUUUAAGUGAAAAGAUUUUCAUCGCAUACUUCGCACAUAAAGCAAUGGUAAUGAGCUAUAUUUAUGUAUUUCAGAACUGCGUUAAAUUAAUAAAUAGCAGAAUAAUGAUAAAUUACGAAUGCAUAAAAUAUUACGUAAGACGUUUAUCAAAGAAAACGAAGCCAAACAACACAGUAACAUAAUAAUGAAUUACCAGGCAAAAUUGUAAAUGGUGUUCAUCAUUUCUGUUCUCAAAGUUUAUAGUCUUCGUUGCUAAAUAAGAUCAAUAAAUGAUAUUUUGUGUGCAGCUGUGCGUGUCCAAAAACGACUCUUGCUCGUCUGAAUUUUCAAUGUUUGCGCACCAUAAACCAGUUUAAGCUCUCCAGUGGAUGUUUUUGUCACUGACCGUUCCAAGGCGGUGCCCCACUGUGUUCCUUUGUUUGUUCGUUUUGUCCUCGUGUGUUGGC